CUCUCUGUUUUUGUAUCGUGCACGCUGCCAAGAUCGUAUGGCAAGAAAGUGACAGGUUGUGAUCACAGCCUAGGAUCUCAACAUCUAAUUCAGUAUUCUGUCCUUUAUGAUGGGAAACUCUAUAUAAGCUAAAAAAGGAUUGAUAUACUUUCAGACACACAUAUACACAAACAGUUUUAAACACCCUUUAGUAUAAAUAAAUCAUCAUUUCAUUCAAAGGACCGAUGUACUUUUAAACUUCAUGGUUAUUUAUUGAAAAUACCGUUUUUAUUUUAAUACAGCCUAAACUGUGAGCACAUGCGCUCUCAUUAGAAGAAUGGAGUACUGUUCAGAAUUUCAGACUCUAUGGGAGAAGUUGAAUAAAGACCGCAUCCUGCACCGAAGGCACACAAACACAAGGAGGAGGAUGGAAUGAUCUUAAGGUCUGUUCUGCAGCACCUUGGCAUCAGGAGGCGGGGUGUACCGUGAAGAGGAGCUAACUAGGGCAGGGCAGAGAGGAGCAUUCCCAGGAGAGCCUUCACCGUGCUCAGAUUACAGCUCCCAGUACGGAGAAAUGUCCUGAGGUUACACAGGGUAGAACGCUCGCCUCUCUGAAAACAUCUGUGUGGCUCAGAAUGAAGUCUGACAUGAAAAGUUCC